AUAUAUUUUAAAUGAAAAGGGUGAGCUCAAAACUAAACAAGAAUUGAAUGAACAAGAGUUGGAAAUGAAUUGGUAUUCAUAUACACAAAUACAAUCAAGAUAUGAAAAAGAUAUUAAAGCGGAAGGGAUUCAUAAGGAGUUGACAGAAUUAGAUAAAAUAUUAACAGGAACGGAGGAUAAGUUGAUUAAAAGAUUAUAUUGUUAUUUACUAGGUGUUAAACUAGAAGAAGAACAAGUUAAAGAAACAAUGAUAGCGUGGGCAAAAAUUUUUUGGAUAUGCUAUAGAAUUCGAUAAAUGGCAGAAGCUAUGGGAUAGGAAUUAUAAAUUAACAAUAUUGACAGCAAAUAAAGAAAACCUGUACAAGAUGUUUUAUAGAUCACACUUUGCAUCAGCAAAAUUAUCAAAUACAAAGUAGG